GUCAGGUGUGGUGGUGCACACCUGUAAUCCCAGUGACUCAGGAGGCUGAGGCAGAAGGAUUGAUUGCAUGAUCAAGGUCAGCCUUAGCAACUUAGUGAGGCCCUAAGCAAGUUAGCAAGACCCUGUCUCAA
rnacentral:sRNA from 1 species